rnacentral:rRNA from 1 species
GACGAACGCUGGCGGCGUGCUUAACACAUGCAAGUCGAACGGAGAGGCCCUGCUUUUGUGGGUUGCUCGAGUGGCCACCGGGUGAGUAACAGGUGAGUAACCUGCCUUUGACUUUGGGAUACCUUGAGGAACCUGGGGCUAUUACCGGAUAGGCACUCCUGCUGCAUGGUGGGAGUUGGAAAGUUUCGGCGGUUGGGGAUGGACUCGUGGCUUAUCUGGUUGUUGGUCGGGUAGUGGAUGACCAAGGCUUGGACGGGUAGCAGGACCGGGAGGGUGACUGGCCACAUUGGGACUGAGAUACGGCGCAGACCAGUACGGGAGGCAGCAGUGGGGAAUGUUGCACAAUGGGGGGAAGCCGGAUGCAGCAACGCCGAGGGCGGGAUGACGGCCUUCGGGUUGUAAACCGCUUUCGCCUGUGACGAAGCGUGAGUGACGGUAAUGGGUAAAGAAGCACCGGCUAACUACGUG